AGAGUUUGAUCAUGGCUCAGGACGAACGCUGGCGGCGUGCUUAACACAUGCAAGUCGAGCGGAAAGGCCCUUCGGGGUACUCGAGCGGCGAACGGGUGAGUAACACGUGAGUAACCUGCCCUUGGUUCUGGGAUAAGCCUGGGAAACUAGGUCUAAUACCGGAUAUGACCUGCCUCCGCAUGGUGGUGGGUGGAAAGUUUUUCGACCAGGGAUGGACUCGCGGCCUAUCAGCUUGUUGGUGGGGUGAUGGCCUACCAAGGCGACGACGGGUAGCCGGCCUGAGAGGGCGACCGGCCACACUGGGACUGAGACACGGCCCAGACUCCUACGGGAGGCAGCAGUGGGGAAUAUUGCGCAAUGGGCGAAAGCCUGACGCAGCGACGCCGCGUGAGGGAUGAAGGCCUUCGGGUUGUAAACCUCUUUCAGCACCGACGAAGCGCAAGUGACGGUAGGUGCAGAAGAAGCGCCGGCUAACUACGUGCCAGCAGCCGCGGUAAUACGUAGGGCGCAAGCGUUGUCCGGAAUUAUUGGGCGUAAAGAGCUCGUAGGCGGUUUGUCGCGUCUGUCGUGAAAGCUUGGGGCUUAACCCCAAGUCUGCGGUGGAUACGGGCAGACUAGAGGCAGGUAGGGGAGAACGGAAUUCCCGGUGUAGCGGUGAAAUGCGCAGAUAUCGGGAGGAACACCGGUGGCGAAGGCGGUUCUCUGGGCCUGUACUGACGCUGAGGAGCGAAAGCAUGGGGAGCGAACAGGAUUAGAUACCCUAGUAGUCC
rnacentral:rRNA from 1 species